UACGAAAGGGGGCGAGCGUUGUUCGGAUUUACUGGGCGUAAAGGGCGCGCAGGCGGCAGACCAAGUCAGGCGACGAAAGCCCCGGGCUUAACCGUGGGAGGUGCGUCUGGGACUGGUAUGCUAGAGUUCGGGAGAGGAUCGCGGAAUUCCCGGUGAUAGAGGUGAAAUUCGUAGAUACGGGAGGAACACCGGUGGCGAAGCGCGAUCUGGGUCGAUACUGACGCUGAGGUGCGAAAGCGUGGGGAGCAAACAGG
rnacentral:rRNA from 1 species